rnacentral:rRNA from 1 species
AUUGAACGCUGGCGGCAUGCCUUACACAUGCAAGUCGAACGGUAACAGGUCUUCGGUUGCUGCUGUGCGGCGAACGGGCGAGUAAUACAUCGGAACGUGCCCGACCGUGGGGGAUAACGAGGCGAAAGCUUUGAUCAUACGCCAUAAGCUCUACGGAUGACAGCGGGGGAUAUUCGGACCUUGCGCGCUCGGAGCGGCCGAUGGGAGAUUAGGUAGUUGGUGGGUUAAAGGCUUACCAAGCCGACGAUCUGUAGCUGGUCUGAGAGGAUGAUCAGCCACACUGGGACUGAGACACGGCCCAGACUCCUACGGGAGGCAGCAGUGGGGAAUAUUGGACAAUGGGCGAAAGCCUGAUCCAGCCAUGCCGCGUGCAUGAUGAAGGCCUUCGGGUUGUAAACUACUUUUAUACGGAACGAAGGGCCUCUAGCUAAUAAAGAGGGGUCAUGACGUUACCGGAAGAAUAAGCACCGGCUAACUACGUG